ACAGAUCUUCAAAGUAAGCAGGGCUUCCAGAAUCCUGAAAGUAAAAAAUGGAACAUUGAUAUGACAUUGAUGUGACUUAAAGUGUGCUGAAGCCAUUAAAUCCACCCUGUACUUCCAUUUGGGUGUCAGGCCAAAUGAAUAUGAAGGAAUUUUAGUGGACGAUAAAUGGAGGAGUUUGUUGGUUCUAGCAGAUAACAUAAGUGAACAAUUGCAGAAUGGAGAUGUAAGACGGUGAACCAAUGAGAAGCUGCAAUGUUAAUGAUGGUCUGUUUAUUAAGACCACUCUGAAUUAAAGAUUAUCUGUUGAUGCUCAUCACAAAGAUAUAAAAGUUUUCAUACAUGUGUUUGUACCAGUAUGGGUUAAUAACAGUGGUGUGACUUGCCCCAUAUUCUCUAUUCAGAAGGCUUUGGAAGGUAAUGUAGCUCUAGACAUUCCAGGAUACGGCAUCACUGUAUAUCUGUGUCCUGGUGAUAUGUGUCCUGGUUAGUGCUUACUGCGCAUGAGAGAUAGGAAUUAUUCAUGUAUCAGCCAGUGCUUAGUACCAAGACUGUAACUUAAUAUGGGUUUAACAGACUGCAGCCACCGCCCAGAAUCCAGUUUAUAUAACAGGUCCCUGUACAAUAGUGUCUGCUUCAAUUGAGAACCUGAGACUGUAGUACAGCGUUUUUCAACCGCUGUGCCGCGGCGCACUAGUGUGCCGCCAGCGGUUCUGAGAUGUGCCGCCAGAGAUGCCCGCUGCAU